UGCAGACUGGAAUCAGGUGCAGUGUG
rnacentral:piRNA from 1 species